rnacentral:hammerhead_ribozyme from 1 species
AUUCUGUUGACGAGUCCCAAAUAGGACGAAGCGCGCGUCCUAGAC